GACGAACGCUGGCGGCGUGCCUAAUACAUGCAAGUCGACGAUCGUCGAACGGGUGAGUAACGCGUGAGUAACCUUCCCUCCGUUUUGGAUGAGCCUUGGAAACGGGGUCUAAUGCCGAUUCCAGGGGGAUGGGCUCGCGGCUUACCCGCUUGUUGGUGGGGUGAUGGCCUGCGAAGGCGGUGACAGGUAGCCGGCCUGAGAGGGUGACCGGCCACAUUGAGACUGCGAUACGGCCCAGAUUACUACGGGAGGCAGCAGUGGGGGAUAUUGCAGAAAGGGCGACAGCCUGAGGCAGCGAGGCCGCGUGGGGUAUGAAGGCUGUCGGGUUGUAAAGUUCUUUAGCUAUCGAACGGGUAGGUGGAGAAGAAGCGCCGGCUAACUACGUGCCAGCAGCCGCGGUAAUUC
rnacentral:rRNA from 1 species